rnacentral:rRNA from 1 species
CCAAUAGCGUAUAUUAAAGUUGUUGCAGUUAAAAAGCUCGUAGUUGAAUUUUGGAUUCUUCCAAUUGGUCCAUCUUUUAGAUGAGUACUGGUUGUGUGGGGUCUAUCCGCCUGGUGAUACGUAAUGUCCUUUAUUGGAUGUUGCGGGUAGUCAGGACCUUUACCUUGAAAAAAUUAGAGUGUUUAAAGCAGGCUUAUGCCGGAAUACAUUAGCAUGGAAUAAUAGAAUAGGACGAAGUUGUUUUAUUUUGUUGGUUUCUAGGACAACCGUAAUGAUUAAUAGGGAUAGUUGGGGGCAUUAGUAGUCAAUUGUCAGAGGUGAAAUUCUUGGAUUUAUUGAAGACUAACUACUGCGAAAGCAGUUGCCAAGGAUGUUUUCAUUAAUCAAGAACGAAAGUUAGGGGAUCGAAGACGAUCAGAUACCGUCGUAGUCUUAACCAUAAACUAUGCCGACUAGGGAUCGGGCGAUGUUGUUUCCAUGACUCGCUCGGCACCUUAUG